CCGCGGUAAUACGAAGGGUGCAAGCGUUACUCGGAAUUAUUGGGCGUAAAGCGCGCGCAGGCGGUCUCUUAAGUCUGAUGUGAAAGCCCCCGGCUCAACCGGGGAGGGUCAUUGGAAACUGGGAGACUUGAGUGCAGAAGAGAAGAGUGGAAUUCCACGUGUAGCGGUGAAAUGCGUAGAGAUGUGGAGGAACACCAGUGGCGAAGGCGACUCUUUGGUCUGUAACUGACGCUGAGGCGCGAAAGCGUGGGGAGCAAACAGG
rnacentral:rRNA from 1 species